rnacentral:tRNA from 1 species
UUUGUUUUAGUAUAAUUUAUUAUUUUAACUUUUCGUGUUAAAGAUAGUUUUGUUAGGACUAAGCAAAU